UACGAGGGGGGCAAGCGUUGUUCGGAAUUAUUGGGCGUAAAGGGCGCGUAGGCGGUGCGGUAAGUCACCUGUGAAAUCUCUGGGCUCAACUCAGAGUCUGCAGGCGAAACUGCCGUGCUGGAGUAUGGGAGAGGUGCGUGGAAUUCCCGGUGUAGCGGUGAAAUGCGUAGAUAUCGGGAGGAGCACCUGUGGCGAAAGCGGCGCACUGGACCAUAACUGACGCUGAGGCGCGAAAGCUAGGGGAGCAAACAGG
rnacentral:rRNA from 1 species